rnacentral:rRNA from 1 species
GACGAACGCUGGCGGCGUGCCUAAUACAUGCAAGUAGAACGCUGAAGAGAGGAGCUUGCUCUUCUUGGAUGAGUUGCGAACGGGUGAGUAACGCGUAGGUAACCUGCCUUGUAGCGGGGGAUAACUAUUGGAAACGAUAGCUAAUACCGCAUAACAAUGGAUGACACAUGUCAUUUAUUUGAAAGGGGCAAUUGCUCCACUACAAGAUGGACCUGCGUUGUAUUAGCUAGUAGGUGAGGUAAUGGCUCACCUAGGCGACGAUACAUAGCCGACCUGAGAGGUUGUUCGCCCACCCUGGACCUGGGACCCGCCCCGGACUCCUACGGAGGGCGCCGUAAGGGAUUCUUCGGCAAUGGGGCAAACCCUGCCCGGCCACGGCCGCUUGGUGGAGGAGGGUUUUCGGUUCUUAAACCUCGGUUUUAGUUAAGAAACGGGUGUGGAGUUGAAAGGUCCCCCCUUGGCGGUAGCUUAACAGAAAGGGACCGCUUACUUCGUU